rnacentral:lncRNA from 1 species
CUUUCGCAGGCUGGAUCCAGCUUCAGGGCAGAGCACAGCUGUGGAGGCGUCACCAGUCUGCCCUGGUGUCAAAGGGCUCCACGUCACCAAGCAGAGCCAAGGAACUUCCGAGCAGCACAGGCAGGUGAGGAGGCAGCAGGAGGAACUCAGGAUAGACCUCAGAGUGAACUUCCAGGCAAGGGUCCCUGGAACCAGAGUCUGAGACCUGGGGUGUCGGCAGCAGAAUCUACAGCGACCUCCCCACCUACUGUCUCUUCUCAGGCAAGUGGCUGCCAUGGCACCCUGAGAACAAGCAAAGCCUCUGCAGGAGGGACUCAGGGGACCCCUGGCUCUGAGCCAGCUGUAGAGGGGCUUUCCAACCCCCACUCCCUGUGGGACAAGGGGAUGGAAACCAGAAUCAGGAUCCCACUGAACUGUCUUUUUUGCUGCUUGUUUGCCUAGUACCUGGUUCUGGGUAAAUGCUCAGGAAAUAUUUAUUGAGUUUCUGAAUUAAGGGGUAAGCUGCCUUUCACUAAAGCUCUGGGGUCCUGGCCUGUCUGAGACAUGCAAGACGAAGGCAUCAGCCCCUGAGCCAGAUCUGGGAUGACUUGACCCCGUCUCUCAGCCUGUGAGCUCUCACGCUGGGAUUCCCCACAUCCUCAGCAGAGGUGAUGGGCUGGGUGCAGUGCAGCAGUUCCCCUACCCUGCCAGUAGGCAGCUCAGCAUGGCCACUGAAGGCAGUGGUUCCCAAGCUGGUCUUUCAAAACUGCCAAAGCCCAAACCAGUCAGAUCGGGUCUUUGGAGUGUGACCCAUGAAUUAAUAUUUUUUUGGCUGCACCAAGUGACAUGAGGUAUCUUAAAUUCCCUGACCAGAGAUUUGAACCCAUGCCCUCUGAAGUGGAAGCGCAGAGUCUUAACCACUGACCGCCCAGGAAGUCCCAGGAUUAGUGUUAUUUUGUUUUUAAACUCCUCAGCUGAUCCCAAUGUGCAAACAUGCUUGGGAACCACUUUUUGGGGCUUUAUUACUUUCUCAAAGCCCUUGCAUAUUCAUUUUUCCACUUGAACUUCAAAUUAAAACUUGCUCAUUUCACAGGCAGCGUGAGGUUUUGUUUAAAAACAUGUAUAGUGCAUAUAUAUAUUUAUAUACUAAAUAAAUAUAUAUACUAUGCUAAAUAUAUAAUAAUA